GCCUUCUGCCCCGGGGCGCGCGGGCGGCGGUGGAGAGCGAAGAGGCGGGAGCGGGCGGGAGAGGUACGGCUGUGCUGCUGCUGCUGCUUCGUUGGCUGUGGUUAAGACGACCUGGAGAGGGAAGCGGGGCCUAGGAAGGACUCUAAUCAUUCUUUUCUUGGUUUGCCCACCGGCUCCGCCUGAAGAUGAAUGAAUUUAAUUGCGAACACACUGUGCUCCGUCAGCGAAGCCAAUGAAAUAAAACCUCCAGGCGAUACCCCGCUGUGUCUGAGGGCUCGGAACCCAUGCUGCUGGCCCGGUACAAGCGCUGCUUGUUCCAGCAUCAGAAGCAAGAUCACAGCACACCUGGCUCCAUACUCAAGGUCAGGCUGGAUGGGGCUCUGAGCAACCUGAAGUAGCUGUAGGUGUCCCUGUUCAUUGCAGGGCAGUUGGACUAGACGGCCUGCAAGGAUCCCCUCCAACUCAGAUGGCUCUAUGAUUCUGUGUUGAACAUCAGUCCUAGCGUGGACCAAGGUGGAAGUGUGUCAUACAGCGUAAGAGAUGAAGCUGACCAAUAAAACGAAGAAAACCCUGCAAAAACGUCUGUCUCGUUGCCACUGUUGAUGUCAGAUGCUGUGAUAUGAGCUUGUGGAGUCAGAGCAGUAAUUCACCUGGCACUCGCUCUUGUGAAGUCAUGAACAUCUUGUUCAGAGAAGAAACAGAUCAGUCUCAGCUUGAGGAGCCCCAGCCUGCAGUGUCUGCUUCUCUUUCAAAUUCUUUGGGCUCCAACAGAAGAACAAAGGUGAAGAAGCAGCCCAGGCUAUUACACCUUUAAGCCUGUAUUAUGUUUCCAAUGUUAGAGCUCGGACUAUGGUUUGGAUCCUAAAGCUAAACUGAAGGCUGAAAAUUGCAAAAAGCAGAAGAAAGCUAGAUGUAAUGGCAGAUGGUUAGCUCAUCCCAUGAAAGAUGUCUGCACCAUAAAGCUGGGUUCUGAAAGAGCACAGCGUUCCUCUGGCUAUAUGUGCAGUGCGGUGCUGAAGUCAAACGAUGCUCAGAAAAUCCAGGAAAAGUGCUGUGAUGUGGAUUGAAGUUGUCACAUGACUCAGUGGGUCCUAAUGGCAAAUCUGUUAAACUUACCCAAGCAGAUGCAAGUAACUUAACAGGGCUUCCUCCACAGAGGUGUUUUCUGUCAUCAAGUGCCUGGAAACGGCGCAAGAAUUCCUCCAGGGGAAACUUUAUCUCUUUUGGUGCAAGAUGUAUUCAUCACCACUUGAAAAUGAGCAGGUUGCUUCCUGAGAAGGAGUGCUGCAUAGCCAGAGAUGCCUUUUGCCAGUUAGGUCCUGAGACUUCUAGACCUUUUAGCCAGCUUCACCUCUGUAACUGCAUCCUAGUAUAUAUGCUGUGUGGGCAAUAUUGGUCAUCAAACUCCACUGGAGCAUGGAGCUGGUGCAGACUGCAUGGAGAGUCAGGUGAGAAACCCGUGAAAUCUGUUCUUAUUACUCCAUUUACUCCAUUGAUUCAAAUGGCAGCACCUGCGGAAGCUUGCUAGUGAGGGGCCUUGCAGAUGUCCACUCUGAUCAUGAAGUUGAAGUUCAGCAGUUUUUCAAGAUGAAAGAAAAAAUGCUUGAUUUUUCAUUUCCAGAAAAGAAAAAACAAACACCUUUGUGGCUUUUUCUUAUUUAUGACCUCAGCAAGAGACUGUGCAAACACGAUUCACAGAAAACAAGGCACUGAGUAUGGAAAGCAUUCUCAAGUGCCACCCAUAUUUUUAGCUUCUGAUUGUAACUGGGUUUGCAGCAUAUUGGUAUAAAUGUGGAAUUAAGCAUAGGCUUGAAUUUUUACUGAAAUGGUGUCUCUGGAUAGUUGAUAUGUCUCCUGGUGCUGGGAAGAAACAAGUUAUUAGAUGAUUGAAUUAACAGUCUCUUAAAAACCUCUUUCCCCUGCAUAUGCUGUUAUUGGUCGUAGAAUAAAUCAAGUUGUCUCUGCGCUUGGUUAGCUUUGCCCAUGCAUGCGCACAUAAAUAGUAUGGCAAUGCCCAUUGAAUAGACACUCUCUCAGUACCCCAUUGUGUUUGCACAUGCAUGCAUAAGAGUGUUGCAUUUUAAUAUAUAAAGGCCCUUGUUAUGUGGGCUGUGAUGAUGCUUCUGGAAGAAAGCUAGGUUUCUGGAGGGUUCUGUCUUGUGCUGCCAAAGACCCCGUCUCACUGUUUAUCUGCUUUGGGCAAAGGUGUUUGGUUUUUUAGCCCCAAUACAAUACUCACGUUUCACACGAUUGGAUUUCUGUAUGAAAAACAACCUCCUCUCCUUCCUGGAGAUUCCUUCAUUAAAAAAAUGUCACUGAAGUCAGUGGAAAGACAGAAAGGUUGCAGAGUUCUUAAAUAGAUGUAAAUACUUCAAAGCAUUUUACCUGUGCAAGUUUAAUUCUGCUCCCUUUGGGGUAUGAGGUACAAUUCAGUGUUUUCCAAAUAAUAAAUCAUUUUAGUUCUACAGAAAGAAUUGUUCAGGCUGGACAAAAUGAUGUAGAACUGUGGCAAACAGUGCUAAAGAGAGACUGUAAAACAGCUAUCACCUCAAGCAUAACAACCAGAACUACAAUGGUGUUACUUUGUCUUACAGUGUUGCUGUAUUUCCAGACACCAUCUUUUCUGUGGAGGGAACAAGAUGAGGCUCCUAUAGAUUAAGCAGCAUAUGAUCAAGUGGUUAAGAAGUUUGCCAUAGUGUAUAAUGCACUGAAAGCAUGAUUGAAAAUCCUGUUGGAACUCUUAAUAUGGAUUUCUCUGAAAGAAAUCAGACAAGUGUAAGUGAAUAAAUUGGCAAUGCAAUGAAGACAGUGUUUUCCAGGGCUACCAGACAACUGCACCAUGAAAAGUUUGAAGAGUUUUCAGCAAGGACAAUUGCUGGAGGGCCCUGACAGCAGCAUCCUCAGGCAAGCAGCUCUUCUGUGCACCUGAAACAUCCUACACGAGGGACAUUUGGGGUUGCCCCUUCCCCCGCAGAUCAAAUCAUGCUGGUGAAUUUCCAGCCACACAAGGACAAGAAAGAUUAUUUUGUGUUGUGGAAGAAAAACAGAAGUAAAAGGCUAAGUUGACUUAGACUCAAAGAACUGAAAAGAAAGCAGAUCCUGUACACCGGAGACUUAGAUUGUCCUAAAAAGUGGAUAAAUGGGGUCCAGUAAGUGAGUCCUUUUUUU
rnacentral:lncRNA from 1 species